rnacentral:rRNA from 1 species
UACAGAGGGGGCAAGCGUUAUUCGGAAUUAUUGGGCGUAAAGGGCGCGUAGGCGGCCAUUCAAGUGACGGGUGAAAGCCCUCGGCUUAACCGAGGAACUGCCUGUCAGACUGGAUGGCUCGAGACCGGGAGAGGUGAGUGGAAUUCCCAGUGUAGCGGUGAAAUGCGUAGAUAUUGGGAGGAACACCAGUGGCGAAGGCGGCUCACUGGACCGGAACUGACGCUGAUGCGCGAAAGCGUGGGGAGCAAACAGG